rnacentral:rRNA from 1 species
CUUUACACAUGCAAGUACGAACGGCAGCGACGGGGCAACCUGGUGGCGAGUGGCGAACGGGUGAGUAAUACAUACGGAACGUCGCCCAAUCGGUGGGGGAUAACGUAGCGAAAGUUACGCUAAUACCGCAUACGAUCUACGGAUGAAAGCGGGGGAUCGCAAGACCUCGCGCGAGUGGAGCGGCCGAUGUCAGAUUAGGUAGUUGGUGGGGUAAAGGCUCACCAAGCCAACGAUCUGUAGCUGGUCUGAGAGGACGACCAGCCACACUGGAACUGAGACACGGUCCAGACUCCUACGGGAGGCAGCAGUGGGGAAUUUUGGACAAUGGGCGCAAGCCUGAUCCAGCCAUUCCGCGUGCAGGAUGAAGGCCUUCGGGUUGUAAACUGCUUUUGUACGGAACGAAACGGCGAGCUCUAAUACAGUUUGCUAAUGACGGUACCGUAAGAAUAAGCACCGGCUAACUACGUG